UGCUAAAUCGUGUGGAGGAGACGGGGUAAGUCGGGGGGUGCAAGCGUUAUCCGGAUUCACUGGGUUGAAAGGGAUCGUAGGAUGGCAGGUAAGUCAGUGGUGAAAUCCUAGAGCGUAAGUCUAGAACUGCCGUUGAUACUAUCUGUCUUGAAUAUUGUGGAGGGGAGCGGAAUAUGUCAUGUAGCGGUGAAAUGCUUAGAUAUGACAUAGAACACCAAUUGCGAAGGCAGCUCGCUACACAUAUAUUGACUCUGAGGCACGAAAGCGUGGGGAUCAAACAGGAUUAGAUACCCGAGUAGUC
rnacentral:rRNA from 1 species